rnacentral:rRNA from 1 species
UACGUAGGUGGCAAGCGUUAUCCGGAUUUACUGGGUGUAAAGGGCGUGUAGGCGGGAAAGCAAGUCAGAUGUGAAAACCAUGGGCUCAACCUGUGGCCUGCAUUUGAAACUGUUUUUCUUGAGUACUGGAGAGGCAGACGGAAUUCCUAGUGUAGCGGUGAAAUGCGUAGAUAUUAGGAGGAACACCAGUGGCGAAGGCGGUCUGCUGGACAGCAACUGACGCUGAGGCGCGAGAGCGUGGGGAGCAAACAGG